rfam:TPA: Bos taurus chromosome 14, whole genome shotgun sequence.
UCCCUGGUGGCUCAGAGGUUAAAGCGUCUGCCUGCAAUGCGGGAGACUUGGGUUUGAUCCCUGGGUCAGGGAA